ACCCUCCAGGUGCUACUAUGACAUACAGCGUUCAUUUAGCCCAUUUUAGGCUCUACUAAGCACUUAGCAAAAAUGUCGGGGAAAUAUAACUGCUUGGAAAUCGUAUUGACUCAUCGCAAUUAAUCUUAAAACAGGUAUAAUUGCAAUUUUCCCGUAAUGACAAUAUAUCAAAAAAAAAAAAUGUUUGCAUUACACGGAGAUUAAUCCUGCCAAAUGAUUUAUGCAAAGAAAAUCAACUUAAUUUAUUUGAUUUCUGUCUCUUUUGAAGAGAGUUCCGAUAUAGUGUGAAAUCCUACUUCGUGCCGACGCACUACGAAGCACUUUCUUAUUUGAGGAGUAGACAUUCGACUAAGUUACAUCAUUUGGCCAAACACGCAAACUUAUUAGACCAUGGAUGAAUCCACAUAUACUAUGCCCUUUCCGCCUGUUUAAAAUUAUAUUUGUUAUCAUUUAGGCCCGGCUAUUCAAUUCUCAAAGUUUGUCUUUUUUGUUUUGUUUUUUUUUUUUUGCAAAAGUUAUGCUUAAAUAAUGCUAGGUAUGGUAUAGAUGAGGGAAAAACAAAUGCGGGUGCUCAUCGACUU